UACGUAGGGCGCAAGCGUUGUCCGGAAUUAUUGGGCGUAAAGAGCUCGUAGGCGGUUUGUCACGUCGGCUGUGAAAACCCGAGGCUCAACCUCGGGCCUGCAGUCGAUACGGGCAGACUAGAGUGCUGUAGGGGAGACUGGAAUUCCUGGUGUAGCGGUGAAAUGCGCAGAUAUCAGGAGGAACACCGGUGGCGAAGGCGGGUCUCUGGGCAGUAACUGACGCUGAGGAGCGAAAGCGUGGGGGAGCAAACAGG
rnacentral:rRNA from 1 species